GAUGAACGCUGGCGGUAUGCUUAACACAUGCAAGUCGAACGGUCACUUCGGUGAUAGUGGCGGACGGGUGAGUAACGCGUGAGAAUCUGUCUUCAGGUCGGGGACAACAGUUAGAAAUGACUGCUAAUACCGGAUGUGCCUUAUGGUGAAAGAUUUAUUGCCUGAAAGAGAGCUCGCGUCAGAUUAGCUAGUAGGUGGUGUAAGAGACUACCUAGGCGACGAUCUGUAGCUGGUCUGAGAGGAUGAGCAGCCACACUGGGACUGAGACACGGCCCAGACUCCUACGGGAGGCAGCAAUGGGGAAUUUUCCGCAAUGGGCGAAAGCCUGACGGAGCAACGCCGCGUGAGGGAGGAAGGUCUUUGGAUUGUAAACCUCUUUUCUCAAGGAAGAAGUUCUGACGGUACUUGAGGAAUCAGCCUCGGCUAACUCCGUGCCAGCAGCCGCGGUAAU
rnacentral:rRNA from 1 species